CCGUGCAGCCCGGCCGCCCCCUGCGCGCAGGGACAUUUCUGUGACGAGCACUUCGGGCUGUGCCUGCCCGCCCGGCCCGCGGGGCAGUACUGCCGCCACGACCCGCACUGCGCCCGCGGCCUCCUCUGCAUCUUCGGCAAGUGCCAGCAGCCCGCGGCCCCCGGGCAGGACGGGGCGCGGUGCCAGCGGGACGAGGAGUGCGGGCCCGGCGGCUGCUGCGCCCGGCAGCACGGGGAGCGCGUGUGCCAGCGGCGCCUGGCGCUGUCGCAGAGCUGCCACGUCCCGCCCGGGGGUCUCGCCUUCAGCAUCAACCAGGUGUGCCCGUGCCAGGCCGGCCUGGUGUGCCGGCCCUCCGUGCCCGCCAGAGAGAGAGCGUUCGAGUACCGGCCCGAGAAGAGCGAGUGGCGCUGCCGGCAGCCCUGAGAGCCCGCGUUGUUAUUUAUUAUUAUCGCCUGUAAAUAUCCCCGUUCUCCGCGGCGCGUCCGGAUAAACCCGGCCCAGCGCCGAUAAACCCGGCCCAGCGCCCGGCGGGGCUGGAGCCCCCCGAGCCCCGCAUCCCCGGAGCCGGGCGGGUCCCAGCUCCAUCCCCACCCCGAGCAGGGGGUCCCUGCAGAGCUCGGUGGUCGCAGCCCCCUCCCCGUGCCCCCCACCCCGGCCGCAGCAGGCUCAGGCGCGGGGCAGGUCUCACCGAAAUGUUUAUUACAAAGAACCAAAGCGAGCGGGGCCAGUCCCGCCCUCCCCCCGACACACACACACACGCACACCAACGAGAAUAAAUAAAUAAAAUACAUUUUUGUCGGGUCUUUAAAUUAAAAGUUUGUGGAGUGACAUAAAUACGGGACGUCCCUCUGCCCGCGGGGGGGCCGGGGAGGGCGGGCCCCACUGCCCGGAUUUUGGUCGCCGCAGGGGCGAGCGCUGGGGCAGGGGGGGCUCAAAGCACUUGGCAGGCAGUGACACUGAGUCCCCCUCCCCAAAAAAAGGGGGAAACUGAGGCACACAUGGGUGGCGGCUUGGCAGCGACAGAGCUGGGUGCCCCCAAGCCCCCCGAACCGGGCUGGUGGUCUGGGUAAGGCAGUGACCCCGGGGACCCCCGGCAUUGCCCCCAGGGGUGGGGGGCAGGGGGCUGCCCCCUAAGUGGGCGGCGAGGGCCGGGCGUGGGGGGUCCCCAGCCCACCCUGCCGCGGUCACCCCGCAGAGUUGGGGGGCACAAGGGACGCCCCGGGGCGGGCACAGGACAAGGCAGUGCCCCGGGGUGUGGGGGCGGCCAAGGGGGGACGGACAGAGGCUCACAGACGGACGGACAGACGGACACGGCUGGACAGGGCGAGCGUGGACAGGCACGGCGGG